UAAUGGCCAGAGGACGGUUGCCAGGGUUACCUGAGGCCUUGAUUUCGGUGAGAGGCGGAUACCAGGAUUCCAAGAGCAGGGUUCUACUCUGAGAAUAAUUUGUAAUUAUGCAUUGAAUUACUUGCUUGAUUAUUCUAUAUCCUCUCCAAUAGACUGUAAUACCUAAAAGGCAUAUGGAAGGUGCCCAAUACAAUGCACUAUGUAUUUGUUAAAGGAAUGAAUGAAAAGCAAUGUAUUUAGUGGAGGAGGACAUCUUUGAAUGUGGACUUCACCAUGUGUUAGGGUUUUCACAUUCCCAUCUCUUUCGGUAACAUACACCAGAAUCCUGGAACUUGGUGGCCUGAGGUCAGAUCCCAUCCCUACCUCUCACUAGCUCCAUCACAUGGUCAGCUGGAGUUCAGUUGAUUGAAGCUGGGAUCAGCUGGAUUUAACUCCAAGCUACAGGUUGGGUCCACAUCUGCACCACAUGUCAUUCAUCUUUCUUGGACCAUGUGCUUUUCAGGGCAAAAGGCUGGAGGGGAAGCCAGCCCCACAAGCACAUUGUAAGCCUUUGCUUACAACAUGUCUUCUAAUAUCUCAUUGGCUAAAGCAAGUCUCAUGCCAAGCUCAACGUUAGUGGUGUAGAGAAGUGUACUCCUCCUGUGGAUUACUGAACAGCAAUUCGAUGUACCACAAUCAUGAGUGCAGA